rnacentral:rRNA from 1 species
UACGAAGGGGGCUAGCGUUGUUCGGAAUCACUGGGCGUAAAGCGUGCGUAGGCGGUUUGGAAAGUUAGAUGUGAAAUACUGGGGCUUAACCUCAGAAUUGCAUUUAAUACUGCCAGACUAGAGAUUGGUAGGGGAUAGUGGAAUUCCUAGUGUAGCGGUGAAAUGCGUAGAUAUUAGGAGGAACACCAGUGGCGAAGGCGACUGUCUGGGCCAAUACUGACGCUAAUUGCACGAAAGCGUGGGGAGCAAACAGG